AAGCCAAGCUGGAGAGGGUGCCCUGGCCCCUUCCCUGCCUUGCUGGGGAGCCCCACGCGCCUCCUGGCAGAGCCGCCUCCACCCCCGUGCCGUAUGGGAGGUGGAACAAGCUUCAUACCAGGCUGCAGCAGCCGCGGCAGAGAGUUAAUGUUAGAGCGGGGGGAGGGGAGGCAGAGUUUGUAAAUGGAAACACUGGUACAUGAGCGUUUCGCACAAUCUGGCUGAAAGCUCCGACUGCAACGGGCUGAAAACCAAAUCUCUCCCUUUGCUGCCCCCUGGCUGCCAACGUUGGCUAUUAUUCUCUAGGAGAAAAAGAAAGGAUGAGGCACAUAAACUCUUCACAAACUGCAUCUUUCUGGCAACUUACGGUUUUGUGUAGAUUGCAGGCCAGGGUUGGCGCCCGGUUGUGGGAAGAUUGGACUGGAAAGGCCUCCUGCGUCAUUUAAGUCCAGUCCCUGUUGUCUGCAAGCAACCAUUGACUCAAGGACGCCGCUUCAAGAUUGCCACUUCAAACCCUCGCGUACAACUGCAAGGCGCACAAUCAGAAGUGCGAGGAAGAUCCUCAGCAUGCCAUAGCACAUUUCCAGAGGAGAAGAAGACUGAAAAGUCAGAGCUAACAACCCUGGAAAAAUGAAGAAUAAAAUAGGAAGGGAGGGAAAGCCUACUGAUAGAGAUACAGAGAUGCACGCUCCAGGUAAUCUCACUGACAGUAAUUCUCAAUUUUGUAUUGCAGUGCCGUGCACUGAAUAUGAAGAUUAGUUAUUCUGCUCAACAGUCCAAAAAUAAAGACCUUAUAUUCUCAGUCCCCAGCUUGUUGCCUUUUAUAAGCCACUCUCUCCAGACACGUCAAUUCCCAUAGUCCACUGCUCCACUCCUUUAAGAGUAAAGCUGUUGGUUUUUUCUACUGUUGCAAUGCUAUUUUCUUAGCGAUCAAAUAAACCUUUUCUCUGCUAAAUGUGAGAGUUUCAGUGAUUUGGGGCUUCCACCCAAUAAAAAUAGGCAACAUAUAAUGGAAUUACCUGGAAAAGUAAGAUUAAUUCUAGCAAGCAGAUCCUUCCAAAUCCUAUUAGGGAACAAGCAUUUCCAUGGAAAUUGUUGUAUGAUGGAGUUCUCCUAGACGCUCAACAUCUUCAGCAAGCAUCCACUGCCUUUGGGCCAAGGCCGUGUAUUCUAAUAGAGACCCACUAUAAUCUACAUGUAAAUGUUGUCCAAGCUGAUGAUGAAGGCUAAACAAGAUCCUGGACUAUGUCCAGUAGACAAUUUAGGUAACUAUAUGUUAGGCACUAAAACAGUAGCUUUUAGGUGCCUGGUCCCCAGAGGGGAAUUCAAAACAGAGUUGGGUGGUAGGUACAUUGAAUGCGGAAAGAGGCUUCCCAGAAGGGUGAUCCAAAAAACAUACAGAAGAAGU